CGCACCUCCAGGCGCCAUGCAAGCUCCAGGGGGACUCGAUACGAGCGUUUCUGAGGCCCAUGAGAACCGUCCCUCGGCGCCCAUUACUCCUCUCGACACCCCCACCGAGCUC
rnacentral:ribozyme from 1 species